CGACGUCGUGGUGUUGUCAAACAUAGAAGAAGGAUAAGAAUAAUAAUCUUGAUAUCCCAGUAACUCCAUGAACCCUAAUGAAGUCUUCUGAUCAUCAUCAUCAUUAGCAGCAGCAGCAGCAGAUAUCGAUGAAAAUGGGUUGGUAUAUGGGAGUAUAAAGGAGGCUUGGUGUGAAAGGUUGACCGGGAGUUGUCGGUAAAGGAUGUACGGAGAACAGACAGUGGCCGGUGGUCGUAUUUAAUGCCACCACUGGCUUUGACUCUGACUCACAGAUAGAUAAGGCUGUACGGGGCACCCUUCGGGGACCCCUUCGGGGACACCAUAUCCCGAUCGGCAAGGCUCCGCCAACCCUUCGGGGACCAAGAGAGAAGGAUGGAAGCCGGUGGCGGCUCACCGAAGAGAGAGGGAGGAGAGAGAGAGGGAGUGACCAAUCACAUCUUUUCUUUUUUUUUUUUU